rnacentral:rRNA from 1 species
UACGUAGGGUGCAAGCGUUAAUCGGAAUUACUGGGCGUAAAGCGUGCGCAGGCGGCGCCGCAAGUCAGGCGUGAAAUCCCCGAGCUUAACUUGGGAAUGGCGCUUGAAACUACGGUGCUGGAGUGUGGCAGAGGGAGGUGGAAUUCCACGUGUAGCGGUGAAAUGCGUAGAGAUGUGGAGGAACACCGAUGGCGAAGGCAGCCUCCUGGGCCAACACUGACGCUCAUGCACGAAAGCGUGGGGAGCAAACAGG